UGGUAGAUGCACCCUGAUAACUUCUUCCCUAGCUGGCUAACACUGGCUGGGGGAUUUUUUU
rnacentral:sRNA from 1 species